GACGAACGCUGGCGGCGUGCCUAAUACAUGCAAGUCGAACGCAGUGGGGACGGGUGAGUAACACGUGGGUAACCUCCCAUCAGAGGGGAUAACACUUGGAAACAGGUGCUAAACCGAUACUGAUGGAUGGACCAGCGGUGCAUUAGCUGGUUGGUGAGGUAACGGCUCACCAAGGCCACGAUGCAUAGCCGACCUGAGAGGGUGUUCGGCCAAAAGGUGAUUGUGAAACGGCCAAGACUCCUACGGGAGGCAGCAGUAGGAAAUCUUCGGCAAUGGACUAAAGUCUGACCGAGCUACGCCGCGUGAGUGAAGAAGGUUUUCGGAUCGUAAAACUCUGUUGUUAGAAAAGCGGUAUCUAACCAGAAAGCCACGGCUAACUACGGGCCAGCAGCCGCGGUAAUAC
rnacentral:rRNA from 1 species